AUUGAACGCUGGCGGCAGGCCUAACACAUGCAAGUCGAACGAGUGGCGGACGGGUGAGUAAUGUCUGGGCAACUGCGCGAUGGAGGGGGAUAACUACUGGAAACGGUAGCUAAUACUGCAUACAACCCGUUGUGCCCAGAGUGGAUUAGCUAGUAGGUGUGGUAACGGCUCACCUAGGCGACGCUCCUUAGCUGGUCUGAGAGGAGGACCGGCCACACUGGUACUGAGACACGGUCCAGACUCCUACGGGAGGCAGCAGUGGGGAAUAUUGCGCAAUGGGCGAAAGCCUGAUGGAGCCAUGCCGCGUGAAUGAAGAAGGUCUUCGGGGUGUAAAGUACUUUCAGCGAGGAGGCGUUACUCACAGAAGAAGCACCGGCUAACUCCGUGCCAGCCGCCGCGGUAAUUC
rnacentral:rRNA from 1 species